AGGUGAGUAAUGUUCCCUACUAGAAAGGAGAGGGCAAGGCUGGUGCCAGCCGCCGCGGUAAAACCAGCUCUUCAAGUGGUCGGGAUAAUUAUUGGGCUUAAAGUGUCCGUAGCCGGUUUAGUAAGUUCCUGGUAAAAUCGGGUAGCUUAACUAUCUAUAUGCUAGGAAUACUACUAUACUAGAGGGCGGGAGAGGUCUGAGGUACUACAGGGGUAGGGGUGAAAUCUUAUAAUCCUUGUUGGACCACCAGUGGCGAAGGCGUCAGACUGGAACGCGCCUGACGGUGAGGGACGAAAGCCAGGGGAGCGAACCGGAUUAGAUACCCGGGUAGUCCUGGCCGUAAACGAUGCAUACUAGGUGAUGGCACGGCCAUGAGCCGUGUCAGUGCCGUAGGGAAACCGUUAAGUGUGCCGCCUGGAA
rnacentral:rRNA from 1 species